rnacentral:hammerhead_ribozyme from 1 species
AUCCAGUUGAUGAGUCCUAAACAGGAUGAAAGGCGCCUCCUGAAU